UCCGCGUUGAUUCUCGUUAAAACAGGGAAAAUGGUGGAAUUAUAUAGUUUGUUGGGUUGAGCAGAAGCGCAGCAAUGGCGUAAGACGUAAUGUGAAAUCAAACAAUUAGCGGGCUGCGGGUUGCAGCUUGGCCGGAAACUGGAAUCAGACCUGUCGACGAAAAUCAGAGGCUAUUCCCACAGUAAAAGCGCUGUUUUUUCGCAAAGAAAUGCAGGCUUACCGAGAUAAUGCGCCCCUAUGCAGGCGACAACCGUGAGGUUGACGGCAUUGCGAGAAGACACGGGGCUUUCGGUUUUAACCCGGUCAUGCGGUUAUUUCGCCCGCAGCUCUGUCGAUAA
rnacentral:ncRNA from 1 species